rnacentral:rRNA from 1 species
GACGAACGCUGGCGGCGUGCUUAACACAUGCAAGUCGAACGGAAAGGCCCUGCUUUUGUGGGGUGCUCGAGUGGCGAACGGGUGAGUAACACGUGAGUAACCUGCCCUUGACUUUGGGAUAACUUCAGGAAACUGGGGCUAAUACCGGAUAUGAGCUCCUGCUGCAUGGUGGGGGUUGGAAAGUUUCGGCGGUUGGGGAUGGACUCGCGGCUCAUCAGCUUGUUGGUGGGGUAGUGGCUUACCAAGGCUUUGACGGGUAGCCGGCCUGAGAGGGUGACCGGCCACAUUGGGACUGAGAUACGGCCCAGACUCCUACGGGAGGCAGCAGUGGGGAAUAUUGCACAAUGGGCGGAAGCCUGAUGCAGCAACGCCGCGUGCGGGAUGACGGCCUUCGGGUUGUAAACCGCUUUCGCCUGUGACGAAGCGUGAGUGACGGUAAUGUGUAAAGAAGCACCGGCUAACUACGUG